rnacentral:rRNA from 1 species
CAGCAGCAGCCGCGGGAAUACGAAGGGUGCAAGCGUUACUCGGAAUUACUGGGCGUAAAGCGUGCGUAGGUGGUUGUUUAAGUCUGUUGUGAAAGCCCUGGGCUCAACCUGGGAAUUGCAGUGGAUACUGGGCAACUAGAGUGUGGUAGAGGGUAGUGGAAUUCCCGGUGUAGCAGUGAAAUGCGUAGAGAUCGGGAGGAACAUCCAUGGCGAAGGCAGCUACCUGGACCAACACUGACACUGAGGCACGAAAGCGUGGGGAGCAAACAGGAUUAGAUACCCCAGUAGUCCCUGUCUCUUAUAC